CUCCGCGCCCGCUCUGGUCCGCGCCGGGUCGGGAGCGGGGCCCGGUGGAGCGGCGGCCGCAGGGGAGAGGCUGGGGUUGUCAGGGGAAGGCCUGGAGUCCUCCAGGGACGGUUCGGUGUUCGCAGUGGACGGGCUGGGGUCCGCAGGUGAGAAGCCAUAAGAAAGAGCCACACUGGAAGGCAGAAUUAAUGAAAGUGUGGGAAUCUGAUGGUGUUUCUACUUCCAUAGAAAUUAAACUUCCAUAAUCCCUUAAAUGCUUUAUUUCUUGGUGACCAAUGCAGCAAUUUGUAAUGUGGUGCACUUAGCCAGUCUGCUUAAGGAAGGAAAUGUGUUGUGGUAAAGGCACUUAACUAGCUUUCCAUUUCUAGGUCUACUAAAAAAAUACCUGUGUGACCCUGAGAAAGAAUUUUCCUCCAGCAAGAUUUGUCCUGCAUCUUCCAGGUAUAUAAUUAAUUUGUAAUACCAGGAGCAGAGCUUUGUGAAUGGUACUGUUAGUACUCAGGUCAGCAGUAUUUAUUGCCUCAG
rnacentral:lncRNA from 1 species